GGGGCGAGUGCGGCCGGCGCCGCAAUCUAUCUUAUCAAAUAGAACUUCGGGGUUCAACUCCCCCUCGCUCCACCA
rnacentral:tRNA from 1 species